GACGAACGCUGGCGGCGUGCUUAACACAUGCAAGUCGAACGGAAAGGCCCUGCUUUUGUUGGGUGCUCGAGUGGCGAACGGGUGAGUAACACGUGAGUAACCUGCCCUUGACUUUGGGAUAACUUCAGGAAACUGGGGCUAAUACCGGAUAGGAGCUCCUGCUGCAUGGUGGGGGUUGGAAAGUUUCGGCGGUUGGGGAUGGACUCGCGGCUUAUCAGCUUGUUGGUGGGGUAGUGGCUUACCAAGGCUUUGACGGGUAGCCGGCCUGAGAGGGUGACCGGCGACAUGGGGACUGAGAUAGGGCCCAGACUGCUAAGGGAGGCAGCAGGGGGGAAUAUGGCACAAUGGGCGGAAGCCUGAGGCAGCAACGCCGCGUGCGGGAUGACGGCCUUCGGGUUGUAAACCGCUUUCGCCUGUGACGAAGCGUGAGUGACGGUAAUGGGUAAAGAAGCACCGGCUAACUACGUG
rnacentral:rRNA from 1 species